GACGUAGGAUGCGAGCGUUGUCCGGAUUUAUUGGGCGUAAAGAGUUCGUAGGCGGUUCGUUAAGUCUGAUGUUAAAGACUGGGGCCCAACCCUGGGAGUGCAUUGGAUACUGGCGGACUGGAGUGCAGUAGAGGCAAGCGGAAUUCCAGGUGUAGCGGUGAAAUGCGCAGAUAUCAGGAGGAACACCGAUUGCGAAGGCAGCUCGCUGGGACGUAACUGACGCUGAGACGCGAAAGCGUGGGGAGCAAACAGG
rnacentral:rRNA from 1 species